rnacentral:sRNA from 1 species
GGUGGCUCAUGCCUGUAAUCCUAGCACUUUGGGAGGCUGAGGCGGGUGGAUCACCUGACGUCAGGAGUUCGAGACCAGCCUAGCCAACAUGGUGAAAUACCAUCUCUACUAAAAAUAGAAAAAAAUUUAGCCAGGCAUGGUGGUGCACGCCUGUAGUCCCAGCUACUUGGGAGGCUGAGGCAGGAGAAUCGCUUGAACCCAGGAGACAUGGGUUGCAGUGAGCCGAGAUGUCACCACUGCCCUCCAGCCUGGGUGACAGAGCAAGACUCCAUUUCAAAAAAAAAAGAGUUAGAGUUAGGUAAUUUCUGGUUAAGUAACCAUAGUGUGUGGAAGGGUGUGCAUGAAUGUUAUAAAUGCUGCUAGGGUGGAGGAGUAUGCAGAGAAAAUCUGCCAAGGAUUGUGUGGGUUUGGGGUUUUAAGCUGUUUUUUUGUUUUGAUGAGCGCUUUGUGCCAAAAAGUUAUUCCUCUGUUCUCCUCAACUUAUUGCCAUGAAGAGUUGAGAGUUGACUCUUCUCAAGGUGGCCUCCUCAUAGGGCGUCUCGCUGUGGGUGUGGAAAGAGGCAAGGGCUGCCAGUUGCAGUCUGUUUGGUGCAUCUGGUCUUAUCGAAUGUUACUUAGCCUCCAACAGUAUUCGAGAAGCAAUGGUAAUGGCUAACAACGUUUACAAAACUCUGGGAGCAAAUGCACAGACCCUUACCCUUUUAGCCACCGUUUGUCUUGAAGACCCAGUGACACAGGAGAAAGCCAAAACAUUAUUAGAUAAAGCCCUGACCCAAAGGCCAGAUUACAUUAAGGCUGUGGUGAAAAAAGCAGAACUACUUAGCAGAGAACAGAAAUAUGAAGAUGGAAUUGCUUUGCUGAGGAACGCACUGGCUAAUCAGAGUGACUGUGUCCUGCAUCGGAUCCUAGGAGAUUUCCUUGUAGCUGUCAAUGAGUAUCAGGAGGCAAUGGACCAGUAUAGUAUAGCACUAAGUUUGGACCCCAAUGACCAGAAGUCUCUAGAGGGGAUGCAGAAGAUGGAGAAGGAGGAGAGUCCCACGGAUGCCACUCAGGAGGAGGAUGUGGACGACAUGGAAGGGAGUGGGGAAGAAGGGGACCUGGAGGGCAGCGACAGUGAGGCGGCCCAGUGGGCUGACCAGGAGCAGUGGUUCGGCAUGCAGUGAGGGGGCGGCAGCUCCAUGGCCGCAGUGGCCUGCCCUGCUCUGAGCACUUCCGUGGACUGAAGGAACCGUAGGAGCCUGCUCUCAGGAGGACAAUGAUUCAGCAUGUGAUUGCAGCAGGGGUCUCUGCCCCCUCGCUCCCAAUUCCUAGUCGUGACUUCAUUUCUAAAACAGAGCCUGACCAACCUUCCAUGUAUCUCCAUCCUCCCCUGCUCCAGCCAGGGAGGACUGAGGGAGUGCCCCGAGACCCACGCACAUGUUGGGGCUUCUGGGCCAAGAGUACUUUUUAUAUAACUAAUUUCUAAAUCCAAAAACUCAAGGAAUAGACAGUGUUCUGUGACAUGGAUUGGUUUGAAGGAGUUACCCACCAUCCCAGCACGAUAGUGUCAUCUCCCAAGUUGGAUGGCAGCACGAUCUGGCCCUAGGGAGCUUCCUGUUCCCAGAAGUCAUUGUCCUGGGCUAUCCAGAUGUCCCUAGUAAAUCUUGCUUCCUUCUGCAAUGUUAGUAAUGCCUUAAGCUGACAGUUGCUAUUUUGCAGAACAGUUUUCCUCUUUGCUUAGCUAGUAACUUGCCUCUGAGCCUGGGCUGAUCUGAGAAACAGGUGUGACAAGAGCAUGAACCAGAGGUGCACCUGGGGCAGUUCCCUAAUAAAACUGGUUUGUACAGUCA